GCCCCGGUCGUAUAGCCCGGCCAAAGGGUGAGAGUACCGGUCAAGUAUGCCGGCCUUUCGAGCCGGAGAACCCGGGUUCAAAUCCCGGCCGGGGCACCA
rnacentral:tRNA from 1 species